rnacentral:rRNA from 1 species
UUAUAGCUUGCUAUGAUAAAAAUUAGUGGCAGACGGGUGAGUAAUGCAUAGGAAUCUACCUAGUAGUAUGGGAUAGCCACUAGAAAUGGUGGGUAAUACUGUAUAAUCCCUGCGGGGGAAAGAUUUAUCGCUAUUAGAUGAGCCUAUGUUAGAUUAGCUAGUUGGUAGGGUAAAGGCCUACCAAGGCAGUGAUCUAUAGCUGGUCUGAGAGGAUGAUCAGCCACACUGGAACUGAGAUACGGUCCAGACUCCUACGGGAGGCAGCAGUGGGGAAUAUUGGACAAUGGGCGCAAGCCUGAUCCAGCUAUGCCGCGUGAGUGAGGAAGGCCUUAGGGUUGUAAAACUCUUUCAGUGGGGAAGAUAAUGACGGUACCCACAGAAGAAGUCCCGGCAAACUCCGUGCCAGCAGCCGCGGUAAUACGGAG